AGCUUUGCGCAGUGGCAAUAUUGUAGCCAAUAAGGUUUAUCCGAGGCACGAUUAUUGCUAAUUGAAAACUUUUCCUGAUGGUGUUCAUUCUGACUGGUUGAAGCUUUUUUUUUUUCUGAUUGUAUAAAG
rnacentral:snRNA from 1 species